rnacentral:misc_RNA from 1 species
GAUGAAGAACGCAGCGAAAUGCGAUACGUAAUGUGAAUUGCAGAAUUCAGUGAAUCAUCGAAUCUUUGAACGCACAUUGCGCCCCUUGGUAUCCCGAGGGGCAUGCCUGUUCGAUCGUCAUUUCACCACUCAAGCCUGGCUUGGUGUUGGGCGACGUCCCCUUUGGGGACGCGCCUCGAAACGCUCGGCGGCGUGGCACCGGCUUUAAGCGUAGCAGAAUCUUUCGCUUUGGAAGUCGGGGCCCCGUCUGCCGGAAGACCUACUCGCAAGGUUGACCUCGGAUCAGGCAGGGAUACCCGCUGAACUUAAGCAUAUCAAUAAGCGGAGGA